rnacentral:lncRNA from 1 species
UGACGAGAGGGGUCAAAGUUGUAAGAAAAGAAAAGUUAGGAUUCAUGCGGCUAAUGAAAUUUCCCGGCGGCGCAAGUGCGCAACUGCUUUGAUUUUGCAGAUCCGAUGGAAGGGGUUUAUGGCAGCUACAUGAAUAAGGUAACCUGACAUCGAGUUUCAAAAAUUUUCCCUUUACUGUCAAUUUUUAUAUGACGCCAAAAAUUGAGAGCAUUGCAUGUAUGUCACGGUGGUUUAUGUAGGGAUUAUAUAUUCAAAGUUCUGGGUUGUGGGGUUGGAGAUGGUGAUGUAUGUCGUAACCGAACAAACUAUACUAUAUGAAAGAGUAAAAUAGUAUAGUAGUUAGUAAUUUUAUCUUUUAUCUUUGUAUAGUAUAUUAUGUCACAUAUGCUACUGGUGGAAAGUAUAAAUGAUGUUAUAAAGAGU